UGUGCUUGGGUUGAUUCUGUGCAGCCAUUUCAUUUUUCUUGUUAAGAAUGAGCAACACGGGCUAGAGAGAUGGCUCAGCUGUUAAGGCUAGGCUCACAACUAAAAAUACA
rnacentral:miRNA from 1 species